GAAUGACGUGAUGUUAUCUUUCGGGACUGACCUGCAGUGGAGAGAAUUACUUUACUGAUCAUAC